GUUUUCUUUUACCAGGAACAUUCUUUGGUUGGAUGAAUCCCCUCAUGCAGCGUGCAUAUCAAAGACCAAUAACAGAGAAGGAAGUGUGGAAGUUAGAUACUUGGGAUAGAACAGAAACACUGAAUGCUAAGUUCCAAGAAUGUUGGGUUAAAGAAUCUCAGAAGCCAAAGCCAUGGCUGUUAAAAGCAUUAAACAGUAGCCUUGGAGGAAGAUGUGACAAGCGAAAUAGAAAAUGAUACUUAAUUUUGAAGGCUUUGUGUUGGGCAGCUGUAGAAUAUUUUGUGCUUAAAGUAGUAACUUUUCAAUAUGUUGAAUAUUUAAGACUACUUGAAUACUUAAAGAACAUUUUGUUGUUGAUGACAGUGUUGAAUGUUUUAAACUAAUUUGUGGAUUGUUAAUACAAUGUUGAAUGUUUUUACUUUUUGUUAUUUGAGAAUCAAGUUCAUUU